rnacentral:misc_RNA from 1 species
UUGAAUUUUAAUGAAGAGGUUUGGUUGUAGCUGGCCCAUUUCAUUUGGGCAUGUGCACACCUUCCUCUUUUCAUCCCACACACAACCUGUGAACCUGUGAGACAGAGAUGGGGAAUUUUUACUUGCUUGCUUUUUUGGAAUACAAAGGCAAUAGGUUAUUGGACCCCCCCCUCUGUCUACUCAAUUAAUAUAAACUCAAAUUAUUUUAAUUUUUAAAACGAAUGUAAUGGAUGUAAACACAUCUCAUACUA